AUUUUCUUCUCCCACAGGACAGAAAUAGAGUGGCAGAAGAAGGAAAAAUAAUCACCAGCAUCUGAAGCCCUCUCCUACAUCCUUCUGCAUUAUUUUGCCAUGCCAGAGACCUUGACUGUGCAGAUGUUGCUGUCAACUGGAAGAACAUCUGCAAUUUGUGAACAUUUGAGUGCAGACUGCCCUAUGAGGUGGUCUCCUCCUUCCAUUGCAUCUUCUGAGGUGAAACCAAUUUCAGGCAGGGCAACACCACUUGCCAAGGCCUGCAGUCCUGCCCUCCUGGUCAGCAUUUGCACCCCUCAGCUACCACUGCCUCUGGAUCAAGACUGAGCUGCCAUGUAUGUCCCUUGGCUGUAUCAUGUAUGACUAUGGCUUGGGUGGUCAAGCCUGAUCAGGGGGUAUUACUGUCUGCUGAAGGCAUGUAAACUGCUGCAGAAUGCAUCUCAGUACAUCUUGUGCCUAUGUUCAAAAUAGCAAUUGUUUUAGUGUCAGUAUUGCAAGAAGGGUGUGGUUUAGAGCAGAGUUCAAAGCUCCCCAAAAUGUGGGGUGAAAAAGCACAAGAGGAAACAAUGCUCAGUCAAGUUACUCAAGCUUUUUCAGAGAAGAAUUAAAUUUUUUAUUGAUCCUCUGUCCUUAUGAGACCCCUGAACACUGACCACAAUUUCUUAAAAUUGUGUGCCUGUCUUUUUGCAGUCUUUUUAAACUUCACUGUCAGUCUCUCCAUGAGCCUCAGAGAGCAUCAGGACUUGCCAUUUUAGAAGUACAACUGGGAAAAUCCCCUUUUGGGUCUCUGCCCAGAGAACACAGAGGAGAUCCUCCCCCAGGUGUGCUCGACACUGGCAAUGAGCAGCUCAGAGCAGCAUCACACAUGUGGAUGGCAACACUGGGCAAGCAGUGUGUGAAAAAUGAGCUCCCCUCUCUGCAGCAGGGCAUCAGCCUAGCCCAGGGGAUUUGGCACAGUGGUUGCUGAUGCUUGGUACAAGAGUGAAACCCUGAAACGGGGCUCAUGUAUGCAUGAAGUGAUUAUUCACUUUCUCUCCAAUGACACUUAGGGUUGAGACAGCAUCAGACAUCAGUGUAGACAGCUGUGAGCCUGAAUUUUAGUGUGCUAUACUAAAUUGUGUCUUUUGCCAUUUCUCUGGCUACCACUUCAAUUAUGCAGGGAAAACUGCCUUGGCAUCUUGAGUGUGAGAGUUGUUAAUUUUACAGAACAAUCCCUUAAAUGGGUAGAAACUCAAAUAUAAAUGCAUAACGCUGGAUCUAUUGCACCCACUGAGAACAUACACUAACAUCCAUGCCAACUAUUCUUGGUUAUAAAUGAUAUAAAUAA
rnacentral:lncRNA from 1 species